rnacentral:lncRNA from 1 species
GAGCAUGUGAUAUAUCAAGUUUACUAAAAUCUAUUGUUUUCUCUCUCUUCUCUUUUAUUCCAUUUCUAUAGUUGCUAGUAAGAUAAAUUAAAUAGAGAGAGGGAGAAGAGAGGAGGUUCGGCAACCAUGGAGGGGAAGGGGAGUCUUUGGUAAGACCUCAAAUCUCCAUAAUUAAAAAAUGAAGAAAAAGGAGGAGAGCGUGGUAAUCAAAGGUAUAAAUACCUUUUGUUAUGAAAUUUUUGAUU